GAUGAAGAACGUAGCGAAAUGCGACAAGUAAUGUGAAUUGCAGAAUUCCGUGAAUCAUCGAAUCUUUGAACGCACAUUGCGCCCUGUGGUAUUCCGCAGGGCAUGCCUGUUCGAGCGUCAUUUCAACCCUCAAGCCCCGCUUGGUGUUGGGCCCCGCCCGCCGUGGCCGGCCCUAAAGACAGUGGCGGCGCCGCCUGGCCCUCAGCGUAGUACAGCUCUCGCUCCAGGGUCCGGCGGCCGCCUGCCAGAACCCCCCCAACUCUGUGGUUGACCUCGGAUCAGGUAGGGAUACCCGCUGAACUUAAGCAUAUCAAUAAGCGGAGGA
rnacentral:misc_RNA from 1 species